GACGAACGCUGGCGGCGUGCUUAACACAUGCAAGUCGAACGGCAAGGCCCUGCGUUUUUGGGGUGCUCGAGUGGCGAACGGGUGAGUAACACGUGAGUAACCUGCCCUUGACUUUGGGAUAACUUCAGGAAACUGGGGCUAAUACCGGAUAGGAGCUCCUGCUCCAUGGUGGGCGUUGGAAAGUUUCGGCCGUUGGGGAUGGAUUCGCGGCUUAUCAGCUUGUUGGUGGGGUAGUGGCUGACCAAGGCAUUGACCGGUAGGCGGCCUGAGAGGGUGAACGGGGACCAUGGGACUGAGAUACGGAGCAGACUGCUACGGGAGGCAGCAGUGGGGAAUAUUGCACAGUGGGCGGGAGUCUGAUGCAGCGACGCCGCGUGCGGGAAGACGGCCUUUUGGUUGUGAACCGCAGUCGCCUGUGACGAAGCGUGAGUGACGGUAAUGGGUAAAGAAGCACCGGCUAACUACGUG
rnacentral:rRNA from 1 species